rnacentral:rRNA from 1 species
UACGUAGGGUGCAAGCGUUGUCCGGAAUUAUUGGGCGUAAAGAGCUCGUAGGCGGUCUGUCGCGUCUGCUGUGAAAACUCAGGGCUUAACCCUGAGCUUGCAGUGGGUACGGGCAGACUAGAGUGUGGUAGGGGAGACUGGAAUUCCUGGUGUAGCGGUGAAAUGCGCAGAUAUCAGGAGGAACACCGGUGGGCGAAGGCGGGUCUCUGGGCCGUAACUGACGCUGGAGGAG